rnacentral:tRNA from 1 species
GGCACUGUAGCUUAGUUCGUAAAGUCCUCGUCUAGCAUACAAGAGUCCAGGGUUCGAAUCCCUGCUGAGCAC